UUGCAGCCAGUUAAGCUCACCAGUGCUUUUCUCCUCAUGCGGACCCAGUAUGGGACUGCUGCAAACAGUAGCCUGUUGCCUGCAUAAGUUGCCCUAAAAGAACAUGGAGACAGCU
ensembl:snoRNA SNORA70 Small nucleolar RNA SNORA70